rfam:Cicer arietinum chromosome Ca4, whole genome shotgun sequence.
UAGCCAUGAUGCGGACAACUUAUGAUCAUGUCUUUGAAUCUCUCACAUGCCUCAUAUAAAGACUCUUGCUCAUAUUGAACAAAGUUGACAAUGUCAGCUCGAAGUUU